UACGUAGGGUCCGAGCGUUGUCCGGAAUUAUUGGGCGUAAAGGGCUCGUAGGCGGUUAGUCACGUCGGGAGUGAAAACUCAGGGCUCAACCCUGAGCGUGCUUCCGAUACGGGCUGACUAGAGGUAUGCAGGGGAGAACGGAAUUCCUGGUGUAGCGGUGAAAUGCGCAGAUAUCAGGAGGAACACCAGCGGCGAAGGCGGCGCUCUGGGCCGGAACUGACGCUGAGGAGCGAAAGCGUGGGUAGCAAACAGG
rnacentral:rRNA from 1 species